CCUACGGGUGGCAGCAGUGAGGAAUAUUGGUCAAUGGGCGGAAGCCUGAACCAGCCAAGUAGCGUGCAGGAUGAAGGUUCUACGGGUUGUAAACCGCUUUUAUACGGGAAUAACGCGCCUUACGUGUAGGGUGUUGCACGUACCGGAUGAAUAAGGACCGGCUAAUUCUGUGCCAGCAGCCGCGGUAAUACGGAAGGUCCGGGCGUUAUCCGGAUUUAUUGGGUGUAAAGGGAGCGUAGGCCGCAUAUCAAGCGUGAUGUGAAAUGUUCGGGCUCAACCCGGGCCUUGCAGUGGAAACUGGCGUGCUAGAGUCCGGGGGAGGCAGGCGGAAUUCGUGGUGUAGCGGUAAAAUGCUUAGAUAUGACGAAGAACACCGAUUGCGAAGGCGGCUUGCUGGAACAGAACUGACGCUGAUGCUCGAAAGCGCGGGUAUCGAACAGGAUUAGAUACCCGUGUAGUC
rnacentral:rRNA from 1 species